rnacentral:rRNA from 1 species
UACGUAGGUGGCAAGCGUUAUCCGGAUUUAUUGGGCGUAAAGGGAACGCAGGCGGUCUUUUAAGUCUGAUGUGAAAGCCUUCGGCUUAACCGGAGUAGUGCAUUGGAAACUGGGAGACUUGAGUGCAGAAGAGGAGAGUGGAACUCCAUGUGUAGCGGUGAAAUGCGUAGAUAUAUGGAAGAACACCAGUGGCGAAGGCGGCUCUCUGGUCUGUAACUGACGCUGAGGUUCGAAAGCGUGGGUAGCAGACAGG